CUCUUGCUUUUUCUUUUGUUUUUAAUUGCCUCUUCACCUUCGUGCGUUCUACUCCCCUACGUCUUCUUAACACCGACACUUCUUUGGCCGCUACACAGGGCAUCGACGCCGAAAGUCUGGUGACAACAUCGGGUUUGGCCCACUGACCCAGCUCGCGACCUGCUACACCAGUUACGACGGAGGUGGUGCAGCAGCAAGAUGCCGCGUUUCUGAAGUCCAACCCAGGCGCGACGGCGCUGCCUUGACCAAGCCAAGCCUAAUGCUUAGCCCUCGUCCGACCGGUGGCGACUCGAUGGCCACAAGAGCCGCCACCUAUGCCCCGGAACAGAAGAGAUCCGCGGCCGCUCGUGGGUCGCCACAAGAGCGGCCGCGGGUCGAGUGGAGUGGCUAUGCCCGGGACGUUAAAAAAUCACAGGAAAACCUCGACUAGGUGGGACGGUGCCUAAAUGACGAAACAGGACUGGAUCUCAUUCAGACAUUUUACCGAACAGGUGGAGUGCUCUAUCGAAACUAAAAAUUCUCGGCCCAAGAAAGAUCGGGAUCCGCAUCGGGACUCUCGAUGGCUAAACCAGGACGCUCACAACAGGCGAUGCCCAGAGCUCGCGUGAGUCGAGCGGUCGCAAGCUCCGGCCCGGUAUGCUCGAAAAUAUGGCGAAAAGAGGGUUGGGGCUUACCGGUUUGGCUCAAGGGCGUCGCUGGGAGAGGUCGGCGGACGGUGGUGGAGUGUGGUUGAGUCGCUAGAUAAGGCUCUCUUGUACUCGACCCUCGGUCUCUCUCUGGAUUCUCUCUCGACCAAGGCAAAAACUGAGCCUCCCUCACUCCCUCGAGCUCACACUCUCUCAAGCUCGCUUUCCUCUUAUGCCCGCUCCUUCUCACGACUCCAAUUGGGCUAUAUCAACGAGGCAGUGAACCUGGAUUCAAGCCUCCAGAUAUUAACGGCGAAUCUGUAUCCGCUGUGCCCGCAACCGGAACUAGCUAUGGGCAUGGUCUGACACCUGGACGAUGGCCUAUUGACCAUCCUCAUGCAGAAUGGAAUUGGUGGCCUUCCAGUGCACCUCAGCUGGAAGUGGGUCGAAGUCGAUCCCAUUCCAAACGCCGUUUUGGCCAACAGUGGUGGUCACCUCGAGGUACAUAGAUGCAGAUACGACAGAGGUCUUUAUGGAAGGGACAUUGUUAUUACACGUAAACUAUGGUACAUAUAGUUCUUCUCAUUACCAUAAAGCUUAUUUGCAACUAACUUUUUCUUUUUCUCAACACUUUUCAGGCAAGGCUAUGAGCAAUGGGAAAUACAAGAGCAUUCUGCAUCGAGCUGUCAUGAACAAGGCUAUCAAUCUCUCUAUCUAGUGGACCGUCGCUGGACACUGUUGUCAUGCCAGUGGAGCAGCUAGUGGAUGGCGAGAACAACUGAACCGUGGACAACUAGAUGAAGUACAAGGACUACUUGGAACUUCAACAGAGCAACACACCAGAUGGGAAAUCGGGCCUAGAAUGGGUAAAGAUAUAAUUUUGUGCAGCCUGAACUAUUAUACUGUAUUAUGUAAAAAGUGCACGUGUGACUAGGUUCUCCUUCUCGACUGUUUAAACUCUCUGAAGUGCAACCUCAUUGAACAUUUAAUAUAUUGUGAUGCAAGGUACAAGCGCCAACAGCACUCA